UGUCACCGCCGGCCGCUGGCUCCGGCGUGUGGGCCCGCAGUGGGACGCGUGGCCCCCGUGGGCAGCACCGGCAGCACAAAGCGCCUCGCACCGCCGUGCCGGCAGUGCCGCUGCUGCCCUGCCCACGCUCGCCCUCUCCGCAACCGCCGCACGCUGUUCCGCACAGGGCGCAGAUAGCUCCUGAGCUCCGCCCGCGGGCUGCGUGUCGUGUCUCGCCGCCUGUGUAACGUCCCCCGCGGGCUGUGUGCGUGUCCCCCGCGGGCUGCGUGUCCCGUUAGGUGCCGCGGCGGGGAGAGGCGCUGAAGGGGGGCGGGAGCGGCGGGGAUCGGGGCUCGCGUCAUUUGGGCGGCCGAGAUCGGCGCCGAUGGGGCUGGGCGGUGAGUCGGGACCUCUGGGGUCCCCCAGCUGGGUUGGGUAACGGCGUGGAGAUGCUGUGGGGCACAGCCAGGGCUUUAACAGGGCUGGGAAAGCGGAGAACGACUGGGGAGCUGCAGCGAUAGCGGAAUGGCGCUCAGGCGGUGUUCGUGCGUCUGGGAACACGGGCCGUGGAGCUGCGGGCACCGGAGGCAUUCGAAGGGAAGUUACACUUUGGCAGUGCUGUCUCCAAAGGCUCCAGAAUGGCUCCGGUUAAAAUCAGCUGUGUGGUGUCCUUCUCCUCCCAGGUGCCUGGGGGCUCCCUCUGGGGGGCUGGGUGUGGGGCUGAUCCCUCUGAGCUGCUGGGGUCUUGGAAGAGGUGGGUCAGGCCAUGACAGGGUGCAGUACUACCUCACCUUGUUAAGCUGAAGGGCAAGGAUUCACAUCAUUCUUGCUCUCUCAAAAUGGGAUGUUGUUCCUGUAGGUUACAGGAGAAUUCCAUGCUUCUCCCCAUGUCCAGAACAAGCUAGAGCUGGAAGGAGGGUGUUUAGGGAGGGGUUGGUACCUGAUGCUGUGUCCCUGGUGUGUGUGCAGGACCCCAAGUACCCCAAGGCAGAGAACCUGCUGAGUGAGGACAGCAUCCAGCCCUGGCUUGGCUGCCCCAAGGCUCACAGCAGGCAGCUGAGUGUGGGGCUGUGACUGCAGAGAGCCAGUCCCAUUGGCUGUGUUGACAUUGACACUUCCCUGUUCCCCACUCCCGUGCAGGAGCCAGGGCCACGUCCCACAGUGGGGUCAGCAGCUCUGAGCCCCCUUGCCCCUGUCCUUCUCGCUGCUCCCCAGGGAACUACAGCUGUGACUUUCUGCAGGCUGAGGUGGGAUGCUCCUCAUGGCCCUGUGGCCAGCCCUGUCACACCUUGGUGCCUACUGAUGACACCAGCUGACUCAAAGCUGGACCAGAAUCGCUGCAAGGUUCAGAUGUUUUAGGAAGGUAAGGAUUGAUCCACAGGAAAAGGGCAUGGAGAAGAGCUGUGGGCCUGAUCGUGGGAUGGAGCUGAUUAGGGGGGAUGGUGAUGGAAUGGGGCUGCCAGUAGGAUGAGGCUGAUAGGAGGGUGGAAGGACAGGUAGGGAAGAGGACAGGUAGACCAGGGGUUAGGAUUGUUUAUGGGCUCAAGAAAGCUGUACCAGCUCUGCUUCCCUGCCCUCUCUUGUGCCCAUAAUCCCCCACAUGUCCUGGGUGGCACAGCAACAGAGCAACAAGCAGAGGCAGGAGUGCUGUUGGGCCAGUGGCCAGUGCUCUUCCCCACAGCAGAGCUCAGAGCCGACCAUGGGGCAGACAGGGACCACAAGCUGUGACAGCUGCAGCUGGUCUGGAGCUGCACAGUUAAAAUUGGCCAUAACAGACCCCAACUUGACCAGCCUGGUAGAUUAAAGAGUAGAGGUAAACAAGUCCCUGGGUAAGACAGUGAUAAGUAGGAUUUGAACUCCAGCAGGGGAGCCCAGCCAGUCCCAUUCAAUCUUGAAUGCAGACAUCAGCUGGCCAGUGAGCUGGGUGGUGUUGAGACCCGAGCCAAUCAAAUGUUCAAGUGCAGGAGUUCUGAAGCCCCUAUAAAAGGGGGUGCCCACCAAUAAACUUUGUCUCUUGUUGCAGGAACUCAGUGUGUUCGGUGUUUGCUUGUGUUCUUUUGUGUCUGAUAGCAACACUCUCCUGCAAGGCUGCCCCUCCCUAUCCCCAGGAGAUCCAGGGAGGAGAAGCAACUGAGGAGCCGCCUGUGGAAGCUGGAUGGGGCUGCCUGGAGCCCAGCCCACCUCAGCCACUCUGCCUGGAUGGAGCUGUUGACAACACAGAAACAGAACCAGGCACUGAGGCCCAGAGCAGGCAUGAGCACCCUGGGGCGUCACCUGGAGCUGCUGGCCAAGGAUGUGGGAGGUCCUGCAGUGCCAGGUGAGAGCCCACCUGAAGAGCUGCUCCAGCUCUGGGACCCCCAACAUCAGAAGAGUGUGGAGCAACUGGUAUGAAUCCAGAGGUGUCAGAACUCAGUAGAUCCCUCCGGGUGUCCAGAGUUGCCGAGGAUCCCACUGGGGGGCUCGGAGACCUUGGCAUCCUGCCCAGAACACCCGGGGAUUUGAUUUUGACCCUUGGAGCAAGUUGCCAGCUUUGUAUGAGGACGUGAAGGUCACACAGGUUUGAAUAGUGUAAUAACAAAAUGAUCACAGGGUGAAAAUGUAGAUUUUAGGAUUUUUGGUACAGGGGUUAUGGGGACAAGAUGGAGGAAUCUGGGCGUGUCUGACCUUCCUCCUUUUUCUUCUUGUUCUCCAUUUUCUGCUGGGAUGUUGGCACUUUGGGAUUGGUCUAGAGUAGAAAUGCACUGUCCAACAUAGGUGAUAGGUAUUGGGAAUUAAGUGUAAAUAGGAUAUACGUAGUUUGUAGUAUAAAAGGACAGCACCGCCUCGGGGGCGGUCAGAGCGCUCGUGGCUGCCCUGCAGAGCGGAUCUCUGCCAGGCAGAAAGAAAAUUUUAUAGAUAAGAAUUAAUAAACAUCCUCAAGACCGAAAAGUGAAGAGUCCAGACUCGUUCUUCAGUUGUGCAGAGACAUCCUACGCAUCUCGGGGCAGCAAUUACCAACAGCAACCCAAGAUUUGGCAUCCCUGGCUGGGCACGUUCCAAGGGGGCACUGAUAAACCUCUUGGGAAGCAGCCAGAACAGCCUGGGAAGCAGCAGCCACUCUCAAGGCCAUCCAGAGAGCUGCUGCCGAAGGGACUCGUAGCAGAACAGUCCGGAGGGAGCCAGAAGGUGCCCUGGAUCCUCUCUCCUGUGAACUGCUGGCAUUUCCAGCUGGACCUUCAGACUGCCCCGACAACUCGGAUUUGGUAAGAAGGUCAAAAUUAAGAACAUGGGGGGGACGUUCCCAGGAACAGUUAAGGACUUUGUCAGCCUUACAAGGCAUGGCAGAGGCACACCCGAUGGAAAUUUCAAAGAAAGAGCUUAGAGAUCUUUUGCUAUGGGUAUGCUGUAAUUAUCUGUACCAUCUGCAUGGGUGAUGCUGGAAGCAACCUCAGCAAGAUGUGGGCAGGUUGCCGAACAGCAGGUUGCUGAAACUCCCACAGGGGCAGAGGGAGGGGAGCAGAGGCAGAAGCGGAGGGCGGUUCUAGUUCCAAUUGUCCCGGGGAAACAGAAACAGUUCCCAUAAAAGGGGAGCAGGAGGGAACUUCAUCACCUCCGAUUCCCUCAUCACCCCGAAAGCCCACGGGACCUCCAAAACGCCCAGAAUCCCCAGAUACUUCAGGGUUUUCGGGCUCCGACUCAGACACCCUCUCACUCCCGGGGGAGCUCAGGGCUGAAAUUUCCCCAAGCGAAUUCGAGGAAUCGGACUGUGCCAUUUUAGAGGCGUGUCCUCCCGAUUCGCAGGAGCCAAAGGGACACAGGAGAGGGAAAACAGCAGAGUCGGGCCGGGGGGCCGAAGUGGGACCAGAGGGGGCAAAGCUCUCUGGCGGCGGGCGCGGUCCCGCGGGCGGCGG